ACUCUAUGCCUCAAAUGAUGUGGUAAACAAACAGAAACACGCGGUCUGUUUUUCGUGUGAAUUUGUGAAUUCUGGUGAGGCUAACGUACAUUUUUGUUGUAUAUAAUUAAAUAAUGGGCAAAGACAAAGAACUUGAUCCUUCGACUGAGAUCAAAGUUGAAGAUGUAGUUGUGAAAGAAGAAGAAAUGUUAAGCUACGAAGAAAAGUUAAAAUUUGUCUCUCCAAUUGCAAAGCCGAUGGCUCCCCGCAAACUAACGAAAAAGAUAUACAAACUAAUUAAGAAAGCCUCCAAAGACAAGAAGUGCCUGAAGAGUGGACUGAAAGCCGUGCAGAAGGAACUUCGCAGAGGCACCAUUGGGAUCAUGGUGAUAGCGGGCGACGUGUUGCCGGUGGACAUCGUGUGCCACCUGCCGGUGAUGUGCGAGGACCGCGGCCUGCCGUACUGCUACACGCCCUCGGGCAGCGACCUGGGGCUGGCCAUGGGCACCAAGCGGCGCAACCUGGCGAUGCUGGUGCCCCCGCGGCCCGAGUACCAGGAGCUGUACGACGAGGUGAAGGAGGGCAUCCAGGCGCUGCCCCCGCCCGCCUGACCUCCGGCCGCUUCCGACACACGCGCACAACUGUGCGAUCUGAACUUGUGCUGGUCUCGGUACUAACCGCAUUAAGGAACCCACCCUUUUCUUCUCAAGAUUGAAGCAGCCGAGUGAACGAAGCCUGGUAGUGUUGGCGAACCACUUAGGAGCUAACGCUGUAAUCUGCUGUUAUAAUUACAAAUGUGUUUCGUCAUUGUUCUGCUUAUUAUAUUUUAAGGAAACCUUUCAGCCAGAUACACCAUGACCAUGAGUUAUGGUACAACUGGAGUAUGCAGCGUUGAAGAUAUCAUGUUGUUGGUACUUUGGGUAUGAAAACUCUUAUUCAGCGGAUAAGUGGUAAACAUUUCAGAAUCUUGUAAUAAAAUUGUCUUUCAACAUUUUUAUAUCACAGAGUACGUAAUUUUUAAACAUAAUAAAAAAAAAUUAGAGACUAGUUAUGAGUUUUGUGAUUGGUGGAGUUUCUUUCAGCUUCCUGUUGACUGUCAGCACACCAUUCACAAUAACCGAGUGUAGAAGCAAACGCAUCCUGAACAGCCGGCCAAA